rnacentral:tRNA from 1 species
GGGGCCUUAGCUCAGAUGGUUAGAGCGCUGGUCUUGCAAACCAGAGGCCGAGAGUUCGAAUCUCUCAGGCUCCA